UGGCAGUCUCUAGAUGGUCAAUCCUU
rnacentral:piRNA from 1 species